GGGAUAACAGUUGGAAACGGCUGCUAAUACCGCAUAAGCGCACAGCAUCGCAUGAUGCAGCUUGAAAAACUCCGGUGGUAUAAGAUGGACCCGCGUUGGAUUAGCUAGUUGGUGAGGUAACGGCCCACCAAGGCGACGAUCCAUAGCCGACCUGAGAGGGUGACCGGCCACAUUGGGACUGAGACACGGCCCAAACUCCUACGGGAGGCAGCAGUGGGGAAUAUUGCACAAUGGGCGAAAGCCUGAUGCAGCGACGCCGCGUGAGCGAAGAAGUAUUUCGGUAUGUAAAGCUCUAUCAGCAGGGAGGAUAAUGACGGUACCUGACUAAGAAGCACCGGCUAAAUACGUGCCAGCAGCCGCGGUAAUACGUAUGGUGCAAGCGUUAUCCGGAUUUACUGGGUGUAAAGGGAGCGCAGGCGGUGCGGCAAGUCUGAUGUGAAAGCCCGGGGCUCAACCCCGGUACUGCAUUGGAAACUGUCGUACUAGAGUGUCGGAGGGGUAAGCGGAAUUCCUAGUGUAGCGGUGAAAUGCGUAGAUAUUAGGAGGAACACCAGUGGCGAAGGCGGCUUACUGGACGAUAACUGACGCUGAGGCUCGAAAGCGUGGGGAGCAAACAGGAUUAGAUACCCUGGUAGUCCACGCCGUAAAC
rnacentral:rRNA from 1 species